CUACGGGAGGCAGCAGUGGGGAAUAUUGGACAAUGGGCGAAAGCCUGAUCCAGCCAUGCCGCGUGUGUGAAGAAGGUCUUCGGAUUGUAAAGCACUUUAAGUUGGGAGGAAGGGCAGUAAGUUAAUACCUUGCUGUUUUGACGUUACCGACAGAAUAAGCACCGGCUAACUCUGUGCCAGCAGCCGCGGUAAUACAGAGGGUGCAAGCGUUAAUCGGAAUUACUGGGCGUAAAGGGCGCGUAGGUGGUUCGUUAAGUUGGAUGUGAAAGCCCCGGGCUCAACCUGGGAACUGCAUCCAAAACUGGCGAGCUAGAGUACGGUAGAGGGUGGUGGAAUUUCCUGUGUAGCGGUGAAAUGCGUAGAUAUAGGAAGGAACACCAGUGGGCCGGGUG
rnacentral:rRNA from 1 species